AAAGUUGAUUGUAUUUCUCAAUUCGUCCUUCUCUGCUUCAUCUUCUUUUAGCCAUCUUUUUAAGGUAAUAUGCUUAAUUGAACUUUAUUUCGUAUUUUGUUCAUAAAAAAGUGUUCUACAAAUUUUUAGAUGAGAUGGCAUAUAAUGCCUCCAAUCACAUGCUGAUCCACAUUCUACUUCACACUUUUAUACGAGUAACCUUUGUCACAUUCAUGCUUUAGUAAGUCCCUUCUGGCAUGCUUAACCUCGAGCUCCCAAGUGAUGCUGACCAAGUUUUUGAUGACUGAAUCAUGUUUGUGGUCCAUCAGUUGACAUCGUUAGAUUUUGUAAUGUUUCUUUUGGAGCCUUAUCUUUUUUUCCAUCUCCAUAUAGAAGAGGGAACUAAGAAAUUUCUGUUAAUGAAGAUCUGAGGGACUUAUAAUUGCCCCCUUCUAUGUAUAUCACUGUCACACAUUGCUCACUCAUUUAUCGCUUCACUCUUUUAUACCGGUGACCUCUGUAAAAUUUCUGCUUUAGAAAGAUCUUCUGGCAUCUUCAGGUCGAAUUUUUCCAGAGGCGCUGGGAGUUAAGAAUGGCAGACAAUCAUCCUUUGCAUUCACAUGUAGUGAAUGUCCUAUAAUUGACCUUACCGACAUGGCUCUCCAUCUAAUUAGAUAGGUCUCCUAUUUCAAAAUCUAGGGGCUCAAGACAAUAUGCUUUUACCUCCAAACUAACACACAAUUAUCAAUAUGAACCUAAAUUUCUACGAGCAAUAUUAAGGUGCUGAUUAGAUCUUUCCUGCUGCUUGGUAUUUUUUAAGAAUCUCCAACACAUACCUUUUUUUCCUGAUUGAUUUAUGUUUUUAUUGCAUAAUAAUUUUUCGUCAUGGGUUUACAGAUAUUGCAUAAUGGGAUUUUGUAGGUGAAAAAAGUGCAGCCAGUGUGCUAGCGAAGCUUAAGUUUAAUCGAUAUACUCAGUUUCAUUACAUGAUAAUAAUUUGGAUCUUCUUGGUCGACAGGCAUAUGUGAGUUCUCUAGUUGGUUUGCAUUUUUUUCAUUCUCUUCUAGAUAUUUUUUUAUAGUCUUCUGAUAUGUUUGUUAUGGAACAGAUUUUUUUCCAGUUUGUCGCCUAAGGGAUCGGGACCUAGGAUUUGGUAUUUGGGGUUUGGUCUAAUCAUUCAUGAUUGCCUGCAGCUCAGGAGGUUUUUGAGAGCAUCAGUUUUUCCCCUGUGAGGAGAGAGGGUAAUAUGGUUGCCCAUGGGUUAACUAAAUUGGUUCAUUCUCCUGUGUUUUUUUUUGUAUUUAAUGGGAGGAGUACCUGAUUUUAUCCUUCCUCUUGUUACUUUGGAUGCUCUGGCUUAAUUUAUUUAAGUCCUCUUUUGGGCUGUUUCAAAAAUAAAAUAAAAUAAAA
rnacentral:lncRNA from 1 species